AUAAGAGGUCCCGCCUGCCCUGUGACUUAAAGUUUAACGGCCGCGGUAUUUUGACCGUGCAAAGGUAGCGCAAUCACUUGUCUUUUAAAUGAAGACCUGUAUGAAUGGCAUCACGAGGGCUUAGCUGUCUCCUUUUUCAAGUCAAUGAAAUUGAUCUCCCCGUGCAGAAGCGGGGAUAAUAAUAUAAGACGAGAAGACCCUAUGGAGCUUUAGACCUAAUGCAGUCCACGAAUAAUACUUUUGAUGAAGAAAGAAAAGCUCAAUGGCUCCUGCACGCCUGUCUUUGGUUGGGGCGACCGCGGGGAAAAAUAAAACCCCCAUGAGGAUUGAGAGUUCUACUCCUAAAACCAAGAGCCACAGCUCUAAGUAACAGAAAUUCUGACCUAAAUGAUCCGGGAAACCGAUCAACGAACCGAGUUACCCUAGGGAUAACAGCGCAAUCCCCUUCCAGAGCCCAUAUCGACAAGGGGGUUUACGACCUCGAUGUUGGAUCAGGACAUCCUAAUGGUGCAGCCGCUAUUAAGGGUUCGUUUGUUCAACGAUUAAAGUCC
rnacentral:rRNA from 1 species